GACAUGCCGGCACAGGCUAGGAAUGCCAGUGGUAGCUGUACAGCAAUAACUCAACGCAUCGUGACUUAAUUUAUUCGCCAAAAAUUGAAGACUCAAGAACGAUCGAUCAAUGUAUUUGUGCAGGCAGUACAAUUGUCGCAUUCUUCUUCUAUCUGCAACAUUUUUCAAAAUUAUUUCUUCGAGCUCCAAAACCUCAAACCCCAUCUGCUAGA
rnacentral:lncRNA from 1 species